AUUGAACGCUGGCGGCAGGCCUAACACAUGCAAGUCGAGCGGAUGAAGGGAGCUUGCUCCUGGAUUCAGCGGCGGACGGGUGAGUAAUGCCUAGGAAUCUGCCUGGUAGUGGGGGAUAACGUCCGGAAACGGGCGCUAAUACCGCAUACGUCCUGAGGGAGAAAGUGGGGAUCUUUGGACCUCACGCUAUCAGAUGAGCCUAGGUCGGAUUAGCUAGUUGGUGGGGUAAAGGCCUACCAAGGCGACGAUCCGUAACUGGUCUGAGAGGAUGAUCAGUCACACUGGAACUGAGACACGGUCCAGACUCCUACGGGAGGCAGCAGUGGGGAAUAUUGGACAAUGGGCGAAAGCCUGAUCCAGCCAUGCCGCGUGUGUGAAGAAGGUCUUCGGAUUGUAAAGCACUUUAAGUUGGGAGGAAGGGCAGUAAGUUAAUACCUUGCUGUUUUGACGUUACCAACAGAAUAAGCACCGGCUAACUUCGUG
rnacentral:rRNA from 1 species